AGAUACUUCUCAGAAGAAGAUAUACAAUUGAUCAACAAAUAUAUGAAAAAAUGUUCAAUUUCUCUAGUAAUUAGAGAUAUACAAAUCAAAACUACUCUAAGAUUUUAUCCCAUGCCAGUCAGAAUGGCAAUUAUCAAGAAUACAAGCAAUAAUAAUUGUUGGUGAGGAUGUGGGGAAAAGGUUCACUCAUACAUUGCUGGUGGGGACUGCAAAUUGGUGCAACCACUCUGGAAAGCAGUAUGGAGAUUCCUUAGAAAACUUGGAAUGGAACCACCAUUUAUGCCACUCCACAGUUUAUACCCAAAUAACUGAAAAAUAGCAUACUACAGUGACACAGCCACGUCAAUGUUCAUAGCAGUUCAAUUUACAAUAGCUAAACUGUGGAACCAACCUAGAUGGCCUUCAACGGAUGAAUGGAUAAAGAAACUGUGGUAUAUAUACACAAUGGAAUAUUACUCAGCAUUAAAAGAGAAUGAAAUUAUGGCAUUUUCAGGUAAAUGGAUGGAGUUGGGAGAAUAUCAUGGUAAGUGAAGUAAGCCAAUCCCCAAAAAAACCAAAAGCCGAAUGUUCUCUCUGCUAAGUGGAUGCUGGUCCAUAAUGAGGCGGGGAGCAUGGUGAGAAUGGAGGA
rnacentral:lncRNA from 1 species